AUUGAACGCUGGCGGCAGGCCUAAUACAUGCAAGUAGAGCGAGCGGAGGACGGGUGAGUAAUGUAGGGGGACUGCCCGAUAGAGGGGGAUAACUACUGGAACCGGUGGCUAAUACCGCAUACUAUCGGAUAACCCAGAUGGGAUUAGCUAGUAGGUGGGGUAAAGGCUCACAUAGGCGACGAUCUCUAGCUGGUCUGAAAGGAUGAUCAGCCACACUGGGACGUAGACACGGCCCAGACUCCUACGGAGGCAGCAGUGGGGAAUAUUGCACAAUGGGCGCAAGCCUGAUGCAGCCAUGCCGCGUGUAUGAAGAGGGCCUUAGGGUUGUAAAGUACGUUCAUCGGGGAGGCGUUACCCGCAGAAGAAGCACCGGCUAACUCCGUGCCAGCAGCCGCGGUAAUAC
rnacentral:rRNA from 1 species